UUAUACAAUUUGAAGAUCAAGAUAUGUCACAAGUGGGUAAAUCUCAACUAGAUACAUAUUUGGAAGAGGCAAAUCUUUCAAAUAAAUAUCAUCCCAAUCUUGAUGUUUUGCAAUAUUGGAAGGACAAUCAAGCUCAGUUUCCAGAUCUUUCACUAUUGGCUUGUGUUAUUUUAAGCAUCCAAAUUACAACGGUGGCUUCCGAAUCAGCAUUUAGUAUUGGCUCACGGGUGCUUAAAAAAUAUUGAACUAGGCUUAUUGCUGACAACAUGCAAGCCUUGAUAUGUACUAAAAAUUGGUUACUACGAUUUGAAAUGCAAGGAAAAGAAGAUGAAGAUGUGGAGAUGGAGAAGGCUCAAGCUACUUCAAAUAUAGAAUCAUUUGUUGUUGGAGAUGUUUCAUAUUCUAAAGCAAGCACAAAGGAACCAAGUGCUAAAAUAUCCAAAGUCAAAUACAAGGAUGAAAUAGUAAAUUGUCCAGAAAAUUAAUGACUUAUAAUACUAGAUAAAAGUAGGAUGUAAAAGAAACUUCUAUGGAUGUAAAAGCUUCUUGAUUUGUGAGAAAAUUUUGUAACUCCUCCAAUGAUGGUUGGUUGGUCCAUCUUUGAAUGGACAUGAUAAAUGGAGAAUACUCCUUUUUCAAACCCCUAA